GAUCCUGGCUCAGGACGAACGCUGGCGGCGUGCCUAAUACAUGCAAGUAGAACGCUGAAAAGAGGAGCUUGCUCUUCUUGGAUGAGUUGCGAACGGGUGAGUAACGCGUAGGUAACCUGCCUUGUGGCGGGGGAUAACUAUUGGAAACGAUAGCUAAUACCGCAUAACAAUGGAUGACACAUGUCAUUUAUUUGAAAGGGGCAAUUGCUCCACUACAAGAUGGACCUGCGUUGUAUUAG
rnacentral:rRNA from 1 species